GAUGACAAAUCUCCGGAAUCUCUGUAUUUCCUUGAUGAAUACUUUGAACCCUUUAUCUGAUUGACUGCCUUUUUAAAGUCAU